AUGAGGAAAGACAACAUAAUAAUUAUAUUGUAUUAUUACUUGGGAAAGGAAAAAAGUAGACUAUUAUUAUUAUUAUUUUUUUCAAAGGAAAACAAAACAGUAACAAGAACUUGUAAGACAAAAACAACACUUCCUCUCUUCAUGAAAAAAACACUUUCCUCCUUUUCUCUCUCUCACAUCCGAAUUCCUCCUUCUUCCUCCCCAUCACCGAUCCAAAUUCUUUUCUUCCUCCCUCGCAAAGAUCCGAACCCCCUCUUCCAUGGCACAACUUCUUUCUUCCUCUCUCUCUCAGAUCCGAACUCCUCCUAUUGUUACAGAUCCGAACCUUCUCUUAAUCAAGAUGUUGAUUAA